AAAAGGCAAUACUUAAGAUGACAAGUAUAUUUUUCUCGAUUUAUUUUCUUCAAAAAACUCAACGAAACCUGAUCACCAAAUUUUUAUACGUAGAUCUAUUUUCUGGGGGUCAAAUGGCGAUUCCUUCUGAACAAUCCACAACAAUCUGCACCAACUGUGAUAAAAAAAUCCCAGUCACAAAUAUCAAUUUGCAUGUUGCACAUUGCACCCGAAACUUAGAAAGAUGCAAGUUUUGUGGAGAAAUGAUUCCUAUAAGGCACUCUGAGAGACACUACUCAAGCAUACAUGUUCCGGUGGCCUGUAAAUUAUGCGGUGAGACAGUAGAGCGGACAAAUUUGGCUCUGCGGAAAUGUGAAAGCUGUCCGCUGAGAAUUGUUAGCUGCGAAUAUUGCAAUUUCCAGUUGCCUGCAGUAGAUCUCUUUGAGCACCAGGCAGGAAUUGUGAACUUCUCUACUGCAUUUGUCAAUUUUCAAUCUGUUUAAUUACCAUCCUGCACCAAUUUUUAAGCACUUCUCUUUCAGGAAAUUUGUCGGAAUCAAAGGCAAAGUUGUUAUCGUUGCCGCUGCGGGAGGGACAUGCGAGCACAAGGGGCUCAAAGAAGAUGGUCGGCGAGUUCUUGGCCGCCGAGGAACUUAUAACAGUUGCUAUAACAGGAGCCGCUAUUUUUCUGAACUCGGUUUUCUUCCAAAGAAAGGAUGAUAAAGGACAAUCGAUACAGUGCAUUUGAGAAUAUUAUCGUCCUUUCUUUACUGUGAAGGAAUUGUAAACAAUUGUCCCUCAUCAUCAACCCUCACCUCAUCUAUAAAUCUGAAUGUAUCUAUCCUCGCAAUUGUAAACAUGGUAUGAUAAAAUCUGUAUCGUAAACUAUUUGUUUUUUCAAAAUCAAGUAAUUU
rnacentral:misc_RNA from 1 species